ACUUGGGCUGGGGGCAUUUCGUGAAGACUAGCUCUCCAUUUUCCUCUGGUUUCAGGCCAGUGGGCCCUGGAAGGGUGCUUCUCAAACUUGAACAUGCAUAUAACUCAUCCGGGAGUCUUACUAAAAUGUAGGUUCAGAUCCAGGAGGCCUGGGGCAAGGCUAAGAGUCUGCAUCUCUAACAAACUCCCUGAGGAGGCUCAGGCAGUAGGAGCAAGACCUCCCCACUCCCCUUUUCAGAGCCUACCAGAAGGAGGUGGGUAGAGAAACUGCCUGGCUAUGAGACCGUGCUGUGAGGUGGACCAAGGCUUAAGGUUGGAGACCAGGAGAGAAAACAGUUCAUGCUGUAAAGAGCUAGAAAUCUGAGAGAAGGAUCCAGAUCCUGACUCGGCUCUCCAGGCUGGUUAACUCUCUCUAGGAGUACCAGUGACAGCAUGGGAGAGUGGCAGACCUACAUGACGGAGUGGAGGGUCUCUAGAUGACAAGCUCCCUCUAAGAUUAUGAUGUCAGCAAUAGCUAACAAUUGCUGGGUGCUAGGCUAGGCGCUAAGAGAGGAGGACUGUUUGCCCCCAAUUUUACAGAUCCCCUCCAGAGACAGGCCAGGUGUUAUUGAUCUACGUAUCCCCGUUCCUGGCACAGUAUUUGUCAGAGAAGCAUGUAUGCAGUCUGUGCCAAGCACAUCACAUGCCUGCUUCCCACAGCCACUUUCCUGCGGUCCAAGGUCGCAGACCGAGGUGGGGCUCCAACUCCAGCGACCACGCCCGCGCACGAGGAGCAGCGCCCCCUAGGGAGCCGAGGGAUGGCCGCGGGAGGCCCCAGGGCCGGCAGUCGGCGCCGGGUGUCAGCAGCCAGGGCACCCGCUGCCGGCUUGCGAGCCGAGGGCCAGCAAGCAUUCCACAGCCACUGGUCUGCCACCAGCCAGGCACUGUGCUAGGAACCUAUGAGUCUGGGGCCCAGUGCCUGGCUUGGAGAGCUUGCAAUCUGGUGACAGUUACACUGUAAGCAAGUGGAUGAAAGCUACCUAUGGCAGCAGAUGCUGUAUCAUCAGUCAGAGUCCCAGUAUAAACAGGUAACACAUUCCAUUCAAGAAAGCCAUAUGCUUGAAGGUGUAUGGGUAGAGUUGAGGGAAGUCAACAAGAAAUGACCCAGGAUCCCAGGGCCAGGGAGAGAGAGGGGCUGUUACCACCCUGAGGCCUGGAGGAUGAAGGGCAGGGACUGUAGUUGGAUGGAGAAAGCCAUCAGGUGACCAGACUCGCCAUCACCUAGAAAGAAAAACAAAGAAGACCAAAGGGAAUGAGGCAGGUUUUGAUGGAAGGGAGAAGCCAGGGGAAAACCCUGCUUCACUCUCCCUGGGAUUUCUGGUCUCUGCCAGUGCCUUCCAACGGCCACCCCCAACCCAGAAGCCAGCGAUCAAGGGGGCGGCCUGGUGCUGCCCAGACGGGUCAGCCUCAGGGCAGAGAGCAGAGUAGAGAAUAGAUCUGGAUUUGCAAACAGAAGACAUCCAGCCACUGGCACAUAGUGGCAAUUAUUGGACAGUCUGGUGAUUUGGCAAAAAAGUGACUAUGAUUAAUAUUCCUAUACAGUGAAAUUCUAUAGUUUU
rnacentral:lncRNA from 1 species